UUUUGCUUUCUUUUAUUUUUUUGUUUUGCUGGAUCAUUCACUUAUUUGCAUCGGUCCCCUACGUACAGGAUGCGUAAGCCGGAGCUGACUGCUGAGAUAAACUACUAAGGACUUAUAUGGAAAUGAUGACUAAGGCCAUGGUAUAUGGGGUUUGGGGAGUGGUUCCUAUAUUCACGAAGUCUAUGGUGCUAAAAUAAUACUGAUGUUUCGCAAAG
rnacentral:lncRNA from 1 species